rnacentral:rRNA from 1 species
CCUACGGGUGGCAGCAGUGAGGAAUAUUGGUCAAUGGGCUUACGCCUGAACCAGCCAAGUCGCGUGAGGGAAGACUGCCCUAUGGGUUGUAAACCGCUUUUGUCAGGGAGCAAAUGGCGCUACGUGUAGCGUGAUCGAGAGUACCUGAAGAAAAAGCAGGGGCUAACUCCGUGCCAGCAGCCGCGGUAAUACGGCGGAUGCGAGCGUUAUCCGGAUUUAUGGGGUUUAAAGGGGGCGUAGGCGGAAUGCCAAGUCAGCGGUAAAAUCGCGGGGCUCAACCUCGCGCCGCCGUUGAAACUGGCGUUCUUGAGUGGGCGAGAAGUAUGCGGCAUGCGUUGUGUAGCGGUUA